AUAGAGUCGUAAAUCACGACGUACGCCUUCAUCAGCCCAAUUCUGUCGAAAACCUAAAACUGGGUUGUUUUUAACUAGCAUAUCAUAGCGGAGGACAGAAACCACAGGGAUUGCCCCAGUAACGGCGAGUGAAGCGGCAACAGCUCAAAUUUGAAAUCUGGCUCUUUUAGAGUCCGAGUUGUAAUUUGCAGAGGGCGCUUUGGCUUUGGCAGCGGUCCAAGUUCCUUGGAACAGGACGUCACAGAGGGUGAGAAUCCCGUACGUGGUCGCUGGCUAUUGCCGUGUAAAGCCCCUUCGACGAGUCGAGUUGUUUGGGAAUGCAGCUCUAAAUGGGAGGUACAUUUCUUCUAAAGCUAAAUAUUGGCCAGAGACCGAUAGCGCACAAGUAGAGUGAUCGAAAGAUGAAAAGCACUUUGGAAAGAGAGUCAAACAGCACGUGAAAUUGUUGAAAGGGAAGCGCUUGCAGCCAGACUUGCUUGCAGUUGCUCAUCCGGGCUUUUGCCCGGUGCACUCUUCUGCAGGCAGGCCAGCAUCAGUUUGGGCGGUAAGAUAAAGGUCUCUGUCACGUACCUCUCUUCGGGGAGGCCUUAUAGGGGAGACGACAUAUUACCAGCCUGGACUGAGGUCCGCGCAUCUGCUAGGAUGCUGGCGUAAUGGCUGUAAGCGGCCCGUCUUGAAACACGGACCAAGGAGUCUAACAUCUAUGCGAGUGUUUGGGUGUCAAGCCCGAGCGCGUAAUGAAAGUGAACGGAGGUAGGAACCCGCAAGGGUGCACUAUCGACCGAUCCUGAUGUCUUCGGAAGGAUUUGAGUAAGAGCAUGGCUGUUGGGACCCGAAAGAUGGUGAACUAUGCUUGAAUAGGGUGAAGCCAGAGGAAACUCUGGUGGAGGCUCGCAGCGGUUCUGACGUGCAAAUCGAUCGUCAAAUUUGGCAUAGGGCGAAAGACUAAUCGAGCUCAGUCUA
rnacentral:rRNA from 1 species